GUCAUUGCCUGAGAUGUGAAGCUGCCUUCGCCUGAAAAUCCUCGUGAUCCUACUUGUCAAUCAGGAUUCUAUCGCUAUAAAGGAGAGAGGACCAGGGGGAGGCUUUCCUCAGUCCGCAGUUUUCCUUUGACCGUUUGUAGGUGCUUAGAGGAGACUCUGGAGCCUCUGUUUUGUUUUCAUCAAAUCGGGCAGCAAGAUCUACUUAGCAGAAAAUAGACUGGAGGACCAGUUUCAAGUUUUCUGCCUGAAUAACUCCAUUUUCCUUUCGGGAUCCAGAUAAAAGUCACUCUCCUUCCAGACCAGAGAACUAAGGCACCCAGAUGGAAGACUUCGACGAGGACUCCUCCUCCACCGACAAAGACAGUGACUGGGUCAAACGCAAAAAUUACACCACCAUUGUGUACAUAAUCCUCAUGGCCGUGCUUCUGAAGCGCCUCCGGCUCAUCUGUGCCAACCUUGUCGACCGGCAAAGUAUGCUGUUUUUCGUGGGGGCCUGCAUUUUGGCGGGCAUCUUUGUGGCGGUUAUUGCAUUGCUGUUCUCUUCCUAUAAGUGAAUUCCAACCACAAAACAUAGAUGGCAGAUUUGGAGCAUCUUCCCAACUAGCACUGACUUUUGCCACAUGCCAAGUUUUGUCAAUUGUUUUUAUUUUCUUCUGGAUGACUCAUAAGCCUUAAAACCACCCAUUUUAAUAAACGUAUAUAUCUUUG